rnacentral:rRNA from 1 species
CAGCACCUCAAGUGGUCAGGAUGAUUAUUGGGCCUAAAGCAUCCGUAGCCUGCUUUGUAAGUUUUCGGUUAAAUCCAUACGCUCAACGUAUGGGCUGCCGGGAAUACUGCAAAGCUAGGGAGUGGGAGAGGUAGACGGUACUCGGUAGGAAGGGGUAAAAUCCUUUGAUCUAUUGAUGACCACCUGUGGCGAAGGCGGUCUACCAGAACACGUCCGACGGUGAGGGAUGAAAGCUGGGGGAGCAAACCGGAUUAGAUACCCGGGGGUAGUCCCAGCUGUAAACUAUGCAAACUCGGUGAUGCAUUGGCUUGAUGCCAAUGCAGUGCCGCAGGGAAGCCGUUAAGUUUGCCGCCUGGAAGUACGUACGCAAGUAUG